rnacentral:rRNA from 1 species
UACGUAGGGUGCGAGCGUUGUCCGGAAUUACUGGGCGUAAAGAGCUCGUAGGUGGUUUGUCGCGUUGUUCGUGAAAACUCACAGCUUAACUGUGGGCGUGCGGGCGGAUACGGGCAGACUGGAGUACUGCAGGGGAGACUGGAAUUCCUGGUGUAGCGGUGGAAUGCGCAGAUAUCAGGAGGAACACCCGUAGCGAAGGCGGCAUUCUGGGCCGAUACUGACGCUGAGGAGCGAAAGCGUGGGGAGCGAACAGG